rnacentral:rRNA from 1 species
CGGCGCGUCUUAAGCAUGCAAGUCGAACGGCAAGAGGUAGCAAUACCUCCUAGAGUGGCGGACUGGUGAGUAACACGUGGGUGACAUACCCUUCAGAUGGGGAUAGCUAUUAGAAAUAGUAGAUAAUACCGAAUACGAGCACAGGGGGUUAGAGAUCUGUGAGGAAAGGAGCGUAAGGCUCCGCUGAAGGAAUGGCCUGCGGCCCAUUAGCUAGUUGGUGAGGUAAGAGCCCACCAAGGCGAUGAUGGGUAUCCGGCCUUAGUAGGGUGAACGGACACAUUGGGACUGAGAUACGGCCCAGACUCCUACGGGAGGCAGCAGCUAAGAAUAUUCCGCAAUGGACGAAAGUCUGACGGAGCGACGCCGCGUGGAUGAAAAGAAGGCCGGAAGGUUGUAAAAUCCUUUUGAAACUGAAGAAUAAGCGUUGUAGGGAAUGACAGCGUGGUGACAGUAGGUUUUGAAUAAGCAACGGCUAAUUACGUGCCAGCAGCAGC